UGGAGUUGAGGGCAUUUUAGACUUUGAUGAUAUUAGUUAUGCAAUGUGUCCUUUACAUAUGAAUGAAUUGCCAGAAUUGCCAGCACACCAAUUCUCACUUUAUAACUUUCUAUCAGCUUCAAAACUAUUCCAAAAUUGUGAAACCACACAGCAACUUCAAUAUUGUCCAUGUGACCUUUCAUUUCAACCGCAAGAUCCGAAUUUAUUUCAGGUCUUCUCAAUCAUAUUUGGAAAUAAAAACUCCAUUGCAGAAGUAUUUAGGAGGUACUGGUUUCAUUUAUGAGCUUUUCAUGUCACUGAAUGUUGAAUUAAUUGUUAUUGUUUGAUUUUAGUAGACAAGUGACUUGCUACGUGACAUGUAAUUGAAAUCAAAUUUCACAAUUUUGAUAUGGAUAAACGGGAUUCACUGAGUUCUGGUUCACAUAUUUGUUAAGAUCAAGUUUCUUAUUAAUGAUGUGCCUUAAACAACUCAAAUUUCAUAUUCUGUGAAUUGAAUUCACCUUGUUGUCUGUGUAUAGAUUAAUAUAUUGAAUGCUUUGUUAGACAACGCCAUGUCCUAUUGGCCCUUUCUCCCUAUCAUAUACUCCUAUAUAGUUAAUGAGAUACAAACUUUUCGCUUCAUUUCCUUUGAAAGAAUAGUUUCAAAUUUAAUGUGAUAUUUUUCUAGGAUAGAUCAUAUAUACUUUUGAUUUUUAUGUAUAUUUGGUGUGGGCAAAGUUAUACUCCAUCUGUCACCGAAGAACCCACAGUUCAGGAAUUUGAGUGGAGGCUUGAAGAGUGAGGCUAAUCCAUAAUAUCAACUGCAGAAGAAUGAGGUUCGAGUUGAUGAAUAGAAGGAGGCCGCAAUACGUGUCCGUCAUCAUUCUCGCCCGGGGUUGAUUAAUUAGGUUAAGGAAAAUAUGAGGCGGCCCUAUUAAGAGAGCAUUAAGGAUACAUCGACUCUCUUGAAUUUCACGUCAUAGCAUGUAUACUGAGCAUAUCCAAGAAAGACACAAGUGGUUGCCUUGGGAUUGCGGAGCUUUUUUGCCAUUUGUACCUAUUUAUUAGACAGAAAACUAUUUAAAUAAGAAAAUACUUGCCUUUCUAGAAUGUGUAAC